CCGCUGCAGCAGCCGUAACGGAACCAAGGGGUUAGCGCAGACUACGCUCCUGUGUAGCUUCCGCCGGCUUCAACACCGCCAACGAGGUCACGCCGCUCUUUGUUGCUGGCGGAAAAGGAGGACGUAGAAGAGAAACGUGCGUCAGUCCAUAUACAUUUCAACGAUGGUUGCUGAAACCAUACGCUGUGUCCAUGAUACAUACCACAACACUUUCAUCAUUAUUACAGUGGUUGCUGUUAAGCUGUUCAUCAAAGGAAUUACUCUCUUGCUCGUGGAAAGUGGGCUGUUGGCUCAUACAACAAGAACUGAUAAACUAGAUAAAUCUUCUGAAGUUCCAAAAAUCUCCGGCCAUCAUUUUGGCCGCCUGUGGAGAUUAUGGAAUCAUAGAGCCUUGUUUUAUGGAGAUCCCACCACCAAGUUGGCAGUGCGUGGGAACCAUGGGGACUGGUGACAAAUAAGCCGAUUUUGUGUUAUUUGAACAGGUACGACACAUAAUAGUUCCGAGACUUGGGAUGUCAGUAAUCAUGAGAUUCAUAUCUACCCGAAGAAACUGAAUACAAGCGUCGCGCAGCCACAUCCACAACCACCUCCAUCAUCCUCCUAAGUUUCAGGUAACUAAAGGAAAUGGAUGACUGCACCGGAGAGAUGCGACCUGUGUCACCUUGUACUUUGGCAAUGAUCUUUGUCAAAGUUCUUCUCUUUGCAAUGAGUCGUACGAUGUAAAAGACCAUUUCACGGAUGGCACAUUCUACUGGUGAUCCUCUGUCCUCUGCCGACGAUGAACAAAAGCGCCAAAGUAGCUGGUCUUUAUGCUUUGUUAUUUCAGUUAUCUGCUUAUCUGAGCAGAAGGGCAGCAACACGACGUGGCAUGGAUUCGACUAACGUCUAGUGCCGGAGGGAACUUACACCGUGAAUCCUGCAGGGCUGUCCAUUAAUCCGUAAGAGUACGAAGGGGUGGAUACCUCUUCUGAACAGCACGUUGAAAGAAAAGGCCACAGUUAAUAGAUUUCCGCGGUAAACAUAUUAGGUUUUGGGCUUUGAAAUACAUUGGUAGUCAUGUAAUUCAUCAUUACUUUCUUAAUUUUUGCUAAUCUUCACGUAUUUACUUACAGGCUGAAGCUCUCGGUUCGUAAUCUCAAGAUCUUUCAUGUGUCCGGCUCCAGUAGACACUGAAAAUACCUGUAAAUAACAGAAAGAAAAAGAUUGCUUCUACAGUCGAUUUCUAGGGGCUGGGGAACAACGCUGGAGCAUCUGAUUUUCUGUCUUCUUCUCUUUCUUCUUCUCCUUCUUCUUUUCCUUUAGCGUUUCCCAUUUCUCCAUGGUGACGACAUUCUUAUACGGGUUGAAGCAGUAUUAGUGACCGAGGCCGCAUGCCCUUCGUGACGCGACCUGGAGCAUCUGAUAAUGGUGAAAAAUUAUAGGUACAUGCGUCAUUGAUUUAUAUCAGCAAUAGUGCCAAUGAUUUAGGUGAACAUUUCACUGACGUUGUCUAAUUUUGUCAUUGUACUGAGACUCGAAAUGCAAUGAACGGUGAGAAGAUAAGAAUCACGAUAGAAUACCCCAAAAACACAGUCUACUGCUCACUCUCUAUAAAAUAAUGGAACCAAGUAAGAGACUAAAAGUACUUGAAAGUCAGUGGAACAUAAUCUGCUGAUUAGGAAGAAGUAUUCCCAACGUUCCCAUUCAGUGACUAAAUCUUAUUUGUCACUACAAUCAGUAGAAGCUAACUACAGUAGUAAAACCGACAUCUUACCUUUCAGAAGGCACGCUUGCUUUAGCAGACGCCACAUUCUACUUAUCUGUUUCAUUGAAUAGUCAUUACCUAUAUUUGCAAUCAAUUAAUUAUAUAUAUUAAGACUUGCUUCUUCUUUCACUGGAGCGCUUAGCACCAGUUGCAGUGUACGUUUUAUUGACAGAAAGUGCAGAACACGAGAAUAUCUAUGACACCCGAGAAUCAUCUGCAAAUCGAUGUUCUUCUCACCGCACUCUGUACAAAGACUUUGUGCAGUUAAGUGCAAAACUAUAGGAGCUAAUGUCUGCUGGGACACAGCUCUGAGUGUCAAUGAUUUUGUCUGCAUCUGAAUCGUUUUUUUAUGUGCGUCAUGUAGCUCUUCGGGUAGAUAUGGAUCUCAUGCGUGUUGUCAUUACAAAUCUCGAAACUAUUAUGUAUCGUACCUGUUCAGUUAACAUAAAAUCGGUGACCGUAAAAGUUAACAGGCAGCACGCAGCCUUCCGGGCGUAUGUGAAGCGUCUCGGACGGGGCGUAAUUUUGUGAUGGAAGGAUUAUUAUCUAGAAGACAGUCAGACGUCCUCUGAGAGACUUACAGAAGGCAGCAGUCGCUUUACUAUCGACGUUGAGGUGACUAGAUACCGAGAACAAGCUCCAUUGGACAAAGAGGGGACAGAGAAUGGGUGGUAGUAUUUUUAAGGAAUCAAUAUGACACCCGUUUAUAGUAAUUAUGAGGAAAAUGUCAACUCGCAAAAUGAGGAUUACUAUACGGGAAUCAGUGUUCAGAGAAUAGAUUUCUAAUAAAAUAUAGUUACGAGAAAAUUUCCUCCAAGGAGGAAAUAUCUCUAACUUUCUUGCUUUAGCAACGCUGAGAAAAAGUCAGUGAUUUGCUCCAUUUAGAUUUAUAAUUACAAUACUCUAAGUGCUAUUACAUUUCUAACAUUUACCUUUAGUGUCAACGACUUUUGUACGUCUAUAUGUUCGAAAAAUAAAGUUGUGUACCAGUAUUGUCUGUAAA